rnacentral:misc_RNA from 1 species
GCCAUCUUUCAUCACCCACUCACUGCAGAUUUUCUAUGCAAAUAGUUCCAAUAUUUAUAUUGAAACCCAUGAAAAGAUUUUACCCUUUGCAGCAUAUUUAAGCAUUGAUUCAUUGAAAACAGAUGAGCUAGUUACUGAGCAUGUUUGGAUGCAUUAGUGCGAAAUUAUCAACCAGCUAACUGCAUUUCUUAGUCUCAAUCAAAACUGAUAGAAUAAGACCUUUACG